UACGUAGGCAGCGAGCGUUGUUCGGAGUUACUGGGCGUAAAGCGUGCGUAGGCGGUGUCUCAAGUUUGUUGUGAAAUCUCCCGGCUCAACCGGGAGGGUGCGGCGAAUACUGAGAUGCUGGAGUGCGGGAGAGGUAAGCGGAAUUCCUGGUGUAGCGGUGAAAUGCGUAGAUAUCAGGAGGAAUACCGGUGGCGAAGGCGGCAUCCUGGACCGAGAUUGACGCUGAACGGCGAAAGCUAGGGGAGCAAACGGG
rnacentral:rRNA from 1 species